rnacentral:rRNA from 1 species
GAUGAACGCUGGCGGCAUGCCUAAUACAUGCAAGUCGAACGAGAUGGUUUACCAUCUAGUGGCGAACGGGUGAGUAAUACAUAGAUAACUUGCUCUUAAGACGAGGAUAACAGUUGGAAACGACUGCUAAAACUGGAUAGGAUAAAGAACCCCAUGGUACUUUAUUUAAAAGUGCUCCAAAGCACUACUUAAGAAGAGGUCUAUGUCGCAUUAGCUAGUUGGUGAGGUAAGGGCUCACCAAGGCGACGAUGCGUAGCUGUGCUGAGAGGCAAAACAGCCACACUGGGACUGAGACACGGCCCAGACUCCUACGGGAGGCAGCAGUAGGGAAUUUUCGGCAAUGGGGGAAACCCUGACCGAGCAAUGCCGCGUGAAUGAUGAAGAUCUUCGGAUUGUAAAGUUCUGUUAUUGGGAAAGAACAGCAUGACUAGGAAAUGAGUUAUGUUUGACGGUACCUGAUUAGAAAGCCCCGGCUAACUAUGUG